rnacentral:rRNA from 1 species
CUCCACCUGGGGAGUACGCCGGCAACGGUGAAACUCAAAGGAAUUGACGGGGGCCCGCACAAGCGGAGGAACAUGUGGUNUAAUUCGAUGAUACGCGAGGAACCUUACCCGGGCUCAAACGACUCAGGAAUAUAUUGGAAACGAUGUAGCCAGCAAUGGUCUGAGUCGAGGUGCUGCAUGGUUGUCGUCAGCUCGUGCCGUGAGGUGUCGGCUUAAGUGCCAUAACGAGCGCAACCCCUACCGCCAGUUGCCAACGGGUAAAGCCGGGAACUCUGGCGGGACUGCCGGCGCAAGCUGCGAGGAAGGCGGGGAUGACGUCAAAUCAGCACGGCCCUUACGUCCGGGGCGACACACGUGUUACAAUGGCAGGUACAGCGGGAAGCCACCUGGUGACAGGGAGCGGAACCCGAAAGCCUGUCUCAGUUCGGAUUGGAGUCUGCAACUCGACUCCAUGAAGCUGGAUUCGCUAGUAAUCGCGCAUCAGCCAUGGCGCGGUGAAUACGUUCCCGGGCCUUGUACACACCGCCCGUCAAGCCAUGGGAGCCGGGGGUGCCUGAAGUACGUGACCGCGAGGAGCGUCCUAGGGCAAAACUGGUGACUGGGGCUAAGUCGUAACAAGGUAGCCGU